rnacentral:rRNA from 1 species
CCUACGGGUGGCAGCAGUGGGGAAUAUUGCACAAUGGGGGAAACCCUGAUGCAGCGACGCCGCGUGAGUGAAGAAGUAUUUCGGUACGUAAAGCUCUAUCAGCAGGGAAGAAAAUGACGGUACCUGACUAAGAAGCCCCGGCUAACUACGUGCCAGCAGCCGCGGUAAUACGUAGGGGGCAAGCGGUAUCCGGAUUUACUGGGUGUAAAGGGAGCGUAGACGGCAGCGCAAGUCUGGAGUGAAAUCCCAUGGCUUAACCAUGGAACUGCUUUGGAACCAGUGCAGCUAGAGUGCAGGAGAGGUAAGCGGAAUUCCUAGUGUAGCGGUGAAAUGCGUAGAUAUUAGGAGGAACACCAGGGGCGAAGGCGGCUUACUGGACUGUAACUGACGUUGAGGCUCGAAAGCGUGGGGAGCAAACAGGAUUAGAUACCCGGGUAGUC